UACUGGGACUCUAACCAUAGGCCAUGAAUCUGGUCUUGGGACACUGGCAGGUGGGCAGUUUGACUGGGGCGGUCGCCUCCCAAAAGGUAACGGAGGCGCUCAAAGGUUCUCUCAGUACGGUCGGAAAGCGUACGUAGAGUGUAAAGGAAAAAGAGAGCUUGAUUGCAAGACAUACAGGUCGAGCAAGGAUGAAAAUCGGACUUAGUGAUCCGGUGGUUCUGCGUGGAAGGGCCAUCGCUCAACGGAUAAAAGCUA
rnacentral:rRNA from 1 species